rnacentral:sRNA from 1 species
AUCCAAUUUCAUCACAUCUUAUUAACUAAAGAGCCUUUUACUUGCGCCACACUCUCACCGCAAUGGCCGCCUCGACAAUGGCUCUCUCCUCUCCUGCUUUGACCGGAAAGGCCGUUAAGCUAUCCCCGGCGGCCUCCGAAGUAUUUGGAACCGGCCGAAUCACCAUGCGCAAAGCCUCCAAGCCCACCGGUCCAUCCGGCAGCCCAUGGUACGGAUCCGACCGAGUCAAGUACUUGGGUCCAUUCUCCGGUGAGCCUCCGAGCUACCUCACUGGAGAGUUCCCCGGUGAUUACGGGUGGGACACUGCCGGUCUAUCCGCCGAUCCCGAGACCUUCGCUAGGAACCGUGAGCUAGAAGUUAUCCACAGCAGAUGGGCCAUGCUCGGAGCCCUAGGCUGCGUUUUCCCUGAGCUAUUGGCUAGGAACGGAGUGAAGUUCGGAGAAGCGGUUUGGUUCAAGGCUGGUUCACAGAUCUUCAGCGACGGAGGAUUGGACUACUUGGGCAACCCGAGCUUGGUCCACGCUCAGAGCAUCUUAGCCAUUUGGGCUACUCAAGUUAUCCUCAUGGGAGCUGUUGAGGGCUACAGAGUCGCCGGAGAUGGUCCAUUGGGAGAAGCAGAGGACUUGCUUUACCCAGGUGGGAGCUUCGACCCAUUGGGCCUCGCUACUGACCCCGAGGCUUUCGCGGAGUUGAAGGUGAAGGAGCUCAAGAACGGAAGGUUGGCUAUGUUCUCUAUGUUUGGAUUCUUCGUUCAGGCCAUUGUCACCGGAAAGGGACCGUUGGAGAACCUCGCGGACCACUUGGCUGAUCCAGUCAACAACAAUGCAUGGGCCUUCGCUACCAACUUCGUCCCCGGAAAGUGAGUUUAAUUUGUGAUCGAGUUGUGUGUAUCCGGUUUGUUGCAUCUUGGAAAUGUGAUGCAGAUUUCAUAUCUUGUAAAUUACUUUGUAUGUGUGUGAAAUAUUUAAGAAGCUUUAUGAUAUUGAUGGAUCAGUCACUUACUAUUUACUAAUGUGCAAGAACAUACUUAGACCUAAUUCGGUGUUCACACAACAUAGUUUGGUUCCAAGAACAGAGAUAAUACCAAAUGAUUUGAUCGUACCACAUCAAAGUCCA